UGCAACUUAAAAAAAGGUCCCAGCAUUCGCAAUGGCCUUUGAGGAUCGGAAAUUCAACUACUACGUAGGCAUACGGUCCCGUAUUAGGGUAUCAGGGAUCGGAUGGAGGGAUUUGGGCACUUAAAUCAAACAGCAAACAGAGAGUUUGAUACUAAAACGCGGGAGUAUGGGAGAUUUUGCGGAUGAAUUAACAAAUUAGCCGGGCUUCAUGAAGUUGAUAGAAGAGGGGGAAAAAAGCUGCUGUUCCAAACAUCAUCCUGAUGAGUUUGAGUCCCAGCUUUUCAAAUGAUAAUAAGAACUUCGUUGCCAAUCCUCAUGCGU
rnacentral:sRNA from 1 species